GAUGGCAUCUGUGCUUCAAGUGCUAAUAACUUAACCAAAAGAAGAAGCAGUGAAAGUGAUGGAGAAGAGAUGAGCUGCCCUUGUUCAAAUCCCACCUCCACCACUUACUAGUACCAGGAGAUUGAACCCAGGGGAGCUCUACAGUGAGCUACAUCUUUGCCUUGAGAUAUUUGAGUUUCCAUCUGGAAAAAAGUUCAUGGAUCAUCAUGUUUGAGCGGUAGUGGAGGGAGAGGCCACAUUCAUUGGCCCUCCAGCUCUGCUAAUAGAUGUGACCCAGCAACAUCUGUGUCGGAAGCAGAAAGGUGGUGUCAUCACAUUUCUCUCUGAGGAACCCUAGCAAUAAUCUGAUUCAUGAAAACACACACAUCCUUCCUGGAGCCCUGGAACUGAAUACAAAUUCAUUGCCCACCAUUCCUAGAAUAUGGACCUGGUGUAGCUCACCUCCUGACACUGGGUUGUCAGGCAGAUAGCACUUGGAUUUAUUAACAACCACAUUCCUUUCCUGUUCCUAUUUCAACUAUCAUUCUAAAAGAUGUCUAAGAGGGAAAAACCAAAAUCACAAGACUGGACUCAUUUCAUCUGUUGGAAUCCACAAUUCUCCAGCUGCUUGAAGGAUAGCUCAAGCCUUGUGUGAUGGGCACAUGAAGACCACUCAUUGGGGGGGAUUCCUCUUUCGCAGACACACCUGGCCGCACCUCCCCUUAGCCUUAGAUUUUUAUUUAAUUAUAGCAGAGAAGAGAUUUCUAUUGGGGAUAUUUUCCCACUUGACAGCAACUUUAGCCAAUUCUUUAAUCCUGAUAGUACAUUCUUCUUUAAUAU
rnacentral:lncRNA from 1 species